CAUUAGAUGACUGAAUGUAAGUAAUGGAAUUUUAAACCAUUUUAUAAUAUUUUAACUAAAUAUUUCUAAUGA
rnacentral:tRNA from 1 species